ensembl:lncRNA
GGGGGCGCGCGCAUUCACAGCACGCGGGCGGGCUGCUGUCAUUUCACCGCAGUUGUGUUUGGAUCUGGAGAGGAAAUUAAGGAAAUACCAACGAAGAAAAAAAAAAGAAAAAAAGGAAGAAGAAGAAGGUCGCCGCAUUAUUAAAAAAAUAAAAAUGGAGCAUUCGUCCAGCAACCACCGGUUUCGGUCCACAAUCUUCAACCACGAUGAUGAGCUUGUGUGUGCGGAGCCGGCGUGUGCACCGUGAACUUGUAGUGGAGACCAUAUUGUCACAACAAACUCAUCAUUCCCAGUGAAGAGAAAAGCUUUUCCUUCAUAAUUUCACACAUAUGUGCGCAUCUAGACAGGUACGCGCGUGUGUGUGUGUGUG